UUGUUAUGACACUGUUACUGUCACAGUUCAUCCUGGUGCUGAUAGGAACGUGAUUGUGAUCGCAGCAACAUCUGGAGGAUUAUUCAUCAUCAUCAUCAUCAUCAUCAUAUGGUUUAUAAUGAAACAAAGGUGUGUUAAAACUGAAGAUAACAGAGUGAAACAGAUCUGUGAUCCCAGUGAAGACACAUACACAGCUCUUGAGCUCAAGUCCAUGACCUCUGACCUCUACGACACACUCACAACCGUUCGUCCCAGACCUCCUGAAGACUCUUGAUCCUAAACAUGAGAAUCCAUCAAUCAACAGGAAGAUGCUGCAUUGAGAGGCGGAGCACAAAGGAACCAAUCCUGAGCUCUGUGGGCGGAGCCACAUAUGAUUGACAGGCAUAAUUAGUGAAGAGUCACUGAAGAGUUUCAUUUUUUAUAGCUUAAAUACAUGAUGUAACAGUGGAAUAAAAGGAAAGUUAAAAGCUGGUUGUGUAAAUAUAUAAUGUUAUAAUUAAGUCAGCAGAACAAAACAAGUGAUGUUCAGUGGUGAGAUACAAGCUCUCUGUUUUCUUAUUUUACAGCAUAUUCCUGCUUUAAUUGAUAAUUUAUCAAGAAACAAAUUCAUCUUAAAAUGUCUUUCUGCAAAAUAAUGAUGUUAAGAUUGUCCACAUACUGUACUUUUUUUCCGAGUCUUUAAGGACGUUGCCUUUAUCUUUCUUGCUUGCCAUCACAACUCCACUCUCCUUCCAUCAGUUUCAGUUUAUUACAAGCAAAAAAGAUUGCAUUAGUGUCCUCUUUUGUUGGCCGUCAAUGUCAUUUAAUCUGACACUUUUUCUUUGAUGAUGAACCGGUCAGAAGGUCCAGAUGGUCAGUCCGUCCCUGCCUGAGCCCUUCAUCACUUGGAAUCCACUAUGGAGUUGAUUUAUUUAUAUUUUUCCCUUAAGAAUUAGUUUGAUGCAGUAUUCUGUAUGUAUAUGAGUGUGUGUCUAAAAGUGAAGUGGUUUAUGUGACUUUAUUAGCAUAUGAAAGAUCUCAGAGCUAUAUACAUUACAUAAAAGCUACACAACUCACA